rnacentral:rRNA from 1 species
AGAACGAACGCUGGCGGCAUGCCUAAUACAUGCAAGUCGAACGAACACUUCGGUGUUAGUGGCGCACGGGUGCGUAACGCGGGGGAAUCUGCCCUUGGGUUCGGAAUAACAGUUGGAAACGACUGCUAAUACCGGAUGAUAUCGAAAGAUCAAAGAUUUAUCGCCCAGGGAUGAGCCCGCGUAGGAUUAGCUAGUUGGUGAGGUAAAGGCUCACCAAGGCGACGAUCCUUAGCUGGUCUGAGAGGAUGAUCAGCCACACUGGGACUGAGACACGGCCCAGACUCCGUACGGGAGG